GAACUUUCAGAGUGAGGAAAGAGUCUUUGGAGGCUGAAUCAAACACCUUCCAGUUUGGUGGUUCAGUGAAAACUAGAGAACUGAGUUGGGAGCGAUCACUGGGCAGUUUAAGACCUGCUAAAUCUUCUGUUGUUUCACCUUUGUGUGGCUUGUCUUCGUCUGUCCCUCCACGAACGGUUUGAAAAUCCCACACAUGACUGACAAGAGACGGCUGCAGGCCCAGAGCUCUAAUCCUCAACAGAGCUUUCUGCAGGAAUGUUUGGACUACAGAUGCUCACUCUGCAUCGACCUCUGAGCUGCUGCUUAAAGUCAUAUUCAGUGGUGAGAUCCCCAAUAUUGUUCUCUUGACCGUACACAGAGGUAAAGUUCCUCAUGACUUCAUAGCUUCACCUGCUCUCCGCC